GCAAAGCAUGCUAUACGCAUUUGCUGACCCAAAGAAAGUGACUAUAUUCUCACUACAAAUGCUCAUAUUAAGUCCCAGAAGGACAAAAUCUUUGAUAUGCUUAAAGCGUAUAGACAAAUACUUGAUUCCAUAUGAAACACAUGUAGAUUUGGACAUAUAGUUCAAAUACUUGGAAGUAUAAAGUCAAAGGUAUGUAUAAUC
rnacentral:lncRNA from 1 species